rnacentral:rRNA from 1 species
UACGUAGGGUGCGAGCGUUGUCCGGAAUUAUUGGGCGUAAAGAGCUCGUAGGCGGCUUGUCGCGUCGACUGUGAAAACUCGGGGCUCAACUCCGAGCUUGCAGUCGAUACGGGCAGGCUAGAGUUCGGUAGGGGAGACUGGAAUUCCUGGUGUAGCGGUGAAAUGCGCAGAUAUCAGGAGGAACACCGGUGGCGAAGGCGGGUCUCUGGGCCGAUACUGACGCUGAGGAGCGAAAGCGUGGGGAGCGAACAGG